rnacentral:rRNA from 1 species
UACGUAGGGUGCAAGCGUUAAUCGGAAUUACUGGGCGUAAAGCGUGCGCAGGCGGUGAUGUAAGACAGGUGUGAAAUCCCCGGGCUUAACCUGGGAACUGCAUUGGUGACUGGCGGGCUAGAGUGUGGCAGAGGGGGGUAGAAUUCCACGUGUAGCAGUGAAAUGCGUAGAGAUGUGGAGGAAUACCGAUGGCGAAGGCAGCCCCCUGGGCUAACACUGACGCUCAUGCACGAAAGCGUGGGGAGCAAACAGG